GUCCUUUUGGAUUUUUAUUUAAGGUCUAGUCUGCCCACUGAAUUUAUAUUUUAAAUGGCCGCAGUAUUUUGACUGUGCAAAGGUAGCAUAAUCAUUAGUUUUUUAAUUAAAAGCUUGUAUGAAAGGCUGGACGAGGUAAAAUCUGUCUCUAUUUAAAUUAUAAUAGAAUUUAACUUUUAAGUUAAAAGGCUUAAAUAUUAUUAAAAGACGAGAAGACCCUAUAGAUCUUUAUAAUUUAUUAAAUGAAAUUAAUUUAGAAGUAUUUAUGUUUUAUUUAAUUAAAUUAUUUUAUUGGGGUAAUAAAAAGAUUGUAUUAAUUCUUUUUUACAAUAAACAUUAAUUUAUGAAUAUUAAUGAUCCAGUUUUACUGAUUAUAAGAUUAAGUUACCUUAGGGAUAACAGCGUAAUUUUUUUAGAGAGUUCAUAUCGAUAAAAAAGUUUGCGACCUCGAUGUUGGAUUAAAGAUUAUUUUAGGUGUAGAAGCUUAAUAAUUUUGGUCUGUUCGACCAUUAAAUCUUUAC
rnacentral:rRNA from 1 species